ACUCAAAGGAAUUGACGGGGACCCGCACAAGCAGCGGAGCGUGUGGUUUAAUUCGAUGCAACGCGAAGAACCUUACCAGGGUUUGACAUGCCAUUGCACCACCCGUUAUGGGGUGUCCCUUCGGGGCGAUGGCACAGGUGCUGCAUGGCUGUCGUCAGCUCGUGUCGUGAGAUGUUGGGUUCAGUCCCGCAACGAGCGCAACCCCUGCCGCUAGUUAUGGUGUCUAGCGGGACCGCCGCGAUCAACGCGGAGGAAGGCGGGGAUGACGUCAAGUCAGCACGGCCCUUACGUCCUGGGCUACACACACGCUACAAUGGUCGCAACAACGGGUAGCCAACCCGCGAGGGGGAGCCAAUCCCAACAAAAGCGGCCUCAGUUCAGAUUGCAGGCUGCAACUCGCCUGCAUGAAGGAGGAGUUGCUAGUAACCGUGGGUCAGCACACUACGGUGAAUACGUUCCCGGGUCUUGCACACACCGCCCGU
rnacentral:rRNA from 1 species